GGCUAUGCCAACACUUGGCUCUGGCUAAUUUGAUUUUAAGGAAACGUGCAAGUUGUCUUCUAGGUGGGAUGUCCUUGAAGACAGUUGCACUCAGAAACAUCAAAAUUAAGAGGACUUUAACUAGUCUUCAGUGUAGCUAGGACAGUAGAGAGUUGUGUGUUGCGUUGGAUAGACCACAGUGUUAGUGGGUGAGCCAGAUUGGAAACAUGCAGGCUGUCUUCUGGGGGGUGGGAUCCCUGAGGGCAGUCUGCAGGUUUAAGGGCAAUGUAGGUGGGAUUUUAAAAUAGUCUCCAGGGUGGUCCAGAUAGGAGUGUUGGUCUAUUGUGUUUAUUACUGACCCAGGUGUAGGGUCAUGUUCGCAGACUGUGAACUUCAUGGUGUAAUUAGAGGUUCCUGAGUCUGGGGGAGGGAAGCACAGGACAGUGUCAGUGGGUGUGCCAACACUUGGCUCUUGCUAAUUUGAUUUUAAGGAAACAUACAAGUUGUCUUCUAGGUAAUAUGUCCUUGAAGACAGCUUGCACC